rnacentral:rRNA from 1 species
UACGUAGGGUGCAAGCGUUGUCCGGAAUUAUUGGGCGUAAAGAGCUCGUAGGCGGUUUGUCGCGUCUGCUGUGAAAACCCGAGGCUCAACCUCGGGCCUGCAGUGGGUACGGGCAGACUAGAGUGCGGUAGGGGAGAAUGGAAUUCCUGGUGUAGCGGUGGAAUGCGCAGAUAUCAGGAGGAACACUGAUGGCGAAGGCAGUUCUCUGGGCCGUAACUGACGCUGAGGAGCGAAAGCAUGGGGAGCGAACAGG